rnacentral:rRNA from 1 species
AUGAACGCUGGCGGUGUGCCUAAUACAUGCAAGUCGAGCGAACAGACGAGGAGCUUACUCCUCUGACGUUAGCGGCGGACGGGUGAGUAACACGUGGAUAACCUACCUAUAAGACUGGGAUAACUUCGGGAAACCGGAGCUAAUACCGGAUAACAUGUUGAACCGCAUGGUUCAACAGUGAAAGACGGUCUUGCUGUCACUUAUAGAUGGAUCCGCGUCGCAUUAGCUAGUUGGUAAGGUAACGGCUUACCAAGGCAACGAUGCGUAGCCGACCUGAGAGGGUGAUAGGCCACACUGGAACUGAGACACGGUCCAGACUCCUACGGGAGGCAGCAGUAGGGAAUCUGCCGCAAAGGGCGAAAGCCUGACGGAGCAACGCCGCGUGAGUGAAGAAGGUCUUCGGAUCGUAAAACUCUGUUAUUAGGGAAGAACAAAUGUGUAAGUACCUAUGCACGUCUUGACGGUACCUAAUCAGAAAGCCACGGCUAACUACGUG